rnacentral:lncRNA from 1 species
UGGAUCAAGAAAGCAAGAGAAAACACCAAAGGAUUACAAGGAGUACAAACCUUACAGAGAUGACAGCAAAAAUGUAUUUGUCUUUUACACGGCUUAUGGUGGAUGAGGACAAAAACUUUGGAAUAGCAAGCUAACACUGAAAAAAAAAAUGACAAAUUAAUGUGUCCUAUUAUCCAGGCUACAUCAGGAGCAAACAUAAAGGGAGAGAGCAAGAUCAUUCUCGGUCAUCGUCCUCUUCAGCAUCGCCUUCGUCACCCAGCUCCCGAGAAGAGAAAGAGAGUAAGAAAGAAAGAGAAGACGAGUUUAAAUCUCACCAUGAGAUGAAAGACUACUCAGGAUUUGCAGGAGUUAGCAGGCCACGAGGAACCUUUCACGAUGACAGAGAUGAUGGUGUGGAUUAUUGGGCCAAAAGAGGAAGAGGUCGUGGUACUUUUCAACGCGGCAGAGGGCGCUUUAAUUUCAAAAAAUCAGGUAGCAGUCCAAAAUGGACUCAUGACAAAUACCAAGGAGAUGGGAUUGUUGAGGAUGAAGAGGAGACCAUGG